CCUACGGGCGGCAGCAGUAGGGAAUAUUGCUCAAUGGGCGAAACCCUGAAGCAGCAACGCCGCGUGGAGGAUGAAGGUUUUAGGAUUGUAAACUCCUUUUUUUAGAGAAGAUUAUGACGGUAUCUAACGAAUAAGCACUGGCUAACUCCGUGCCAGCAGCCGCGGUAAUAUGGAGGGUGCAAGUGUUAAUCGGAAUCUCUGGGCGUAAAGAGUGCGUAGGCGGGGUAAUAAGUCAGAUGUGAAAUCCUGUAGCUUAAAUACAGAACUGCAUUUGAGACUGUUAGUCUGGAGUGUGGGUGAGGUAGGUGGAAUACUUGGUGUAGGGGUAAAAUCCGUAGAGAUCAAGCAGAAUACUCAUUGCGAAGGCGACCUGCUGGAACAUUACUGACGCUGAUGCACGAAAGCGUGGGGAGCAAACAGGAUUAGAUACCCCUGUAGUC
rnacentral:rRNA from 1 species